rnacentral:rRNA from 1 species
GAUGAACGCUGGCGGCGUGCCUAAUACAUGCAAGUCGAGCGAACAGACGAGGAGCUUGCUCCUCUGACGUUAGCGGCGGACGGGUGAGUAACACGUGGAUAACCUACCUAUAAGACUGGGAUAACUUCGGGAAGCCGGAUCUAAUACCGGAUAAUAUAUUGAACCGCAUGGAUCAAUAGUUAUAGACGGUUUUGCUGUCACUUAUAGAUGGAUCCGUGCCGCAUUAGCUAGUUGGUAAGGUAACGGCUUACCAAGGCGACGAUGCGUAGCCGACCUGAGAGGGUGAUCGGCCACACUGGAACUGAGACACGGUCCAGACUCCUACGGGAGGCAGCAGUAGGGAAUCUUGCGCAAUGGGCGAAAGCCUGACGGAGCAACGCCGCGUGAGUGAUGAAGGUCUUCGGAUCGUAAAGCUCUGUUAUUAGGGAAGAACAAAUGUGUAAGUAACUAUGCACGUCUUGACGGUACCUAAUCAGAAAGCCACGGCUAACUACGUG